rnacentral:lncRNA from 1 species
GGCGGAGGUGGGGAUUGCGUUCUGGGGGUUCAGGGAAAGCGAGCCGCUUCUGGCUGGGAAAUCAGGAGAGUCUACCUGGAAGAAGAGGCAUUUGAGCUGAGUUUUGAAGGAUGGAUAAGGGAGGGGAGUAGGAAGCCAAGUCGUCAGGAAGUGUUAAGAGAAAAUGGAGAAGUCAAUCCAGUGUGGCUGAAGUGCAAGGAUCUUGAUGAGGGAGAGGGGUGAAGCUAAUGCCACUGAUCUGGGGACCACACUUCAAGAACCACUGCUUAUAAUAGCUGUCAAAUGGCUACACCCAAGAAGCUGCCUUGGAGUGAUCACAGGAGAUUCAGUCCCUGGCUCCAUAAAGACCGUUCUUUCUUCUAACUUAAAGCCCUGGGAACAUACCUCUCACCUUUCUCCUCCCAGAGCUGCACCAGCCUGCAAGAGGAGUGAAGAAGUUGCUAGAAACAGAAUUCUGGUCCCCCCACCCCCCUCCUCAUCAUCUGAUACCAUCAGACCUCAACAGUCUCUGUGCUAAGAGCCCCUAAUGAGCAUCAGCAAAUUAACAA